rfam:Ricinus communis cultivar Hale ctg_1100012361141, whole genome shotgun sequence.
AUAUCUUUCUCGGCCUUUUGGCUAAGAUCAAGUGUAGUAUCUGUACUUAUCAGUUUAAUAUAUGAUACGUGGAUUAUUGAUCCACAUGAUAUUAAAUUUAUUUUUUAAUGGGAGGUUUCACUACAGCAGCUUGCUAUUGGAAUCCUCAUGGGUCGCCUUUGCAUUGCAAUACUGCAUAGGCUAGCGCAACCCAA